ensembl:lncRNA LINC02517 long intergenic non-protein coding RNA 2517
GAAGGUUUGAGACUCAGGAUGGGGUCAUGGCUGAGACUAUGAGGGCUGCUCGUGCAUGACCCUGCCUGCUGGCCUCCAUGGGCCCACUAUCUGAAUGUGGUUACCCUUCUCCCCAGGACCAGGUGCCACCUCCUCUGGGAAGCUUUCCCUGCCCGUCCACAGGGUAUGCCUCCUUGUUCCUCUCCUGCCAUCGGUUUACGUGCCUGUCUCCAUCAACAGACCAGGAGCUCCUGAGGACAGGGACUGAGUCUGCCUGAUUCAUCUCUGCAUUCCUAGCACUUACCUUGGUGCUUAGUGAAAGCUCGAACCUGCCUGGGUUCCCACCUUGUCUCUGCUACCCCCAGCUCUGUGAACUCAGCUCCUGCCUCUGUGAGUCACCCCCCCAAGUGCUCUGCCUGCAGCCACUUGCCCUGGCAGGAAGACCCUUGGGCAGGCCCCACCAUGGCUCCACUCUGGAAUGCUGGGCACUUUGCCCCACUACGCUCUACAAAGGCAUCCCUUCCUUCUGGGCAGGACAUGGGUGCAGUCUCAGAGGUCCUCAGGUUGUCGGAGGACACAGAAGCAGGCUCCGAUGAUGCUCUGUCCGCCCACCCUUGGCAAGCUCACCUGCAGAUGGCUUCCAUCAUUCCAGCUAAGGGCCACUUCUGUCUGUCUGCCUGUGGCAACCUCAGGCCACAGGACCAGCCUGGGAGUGUGCCAACCUGUCCGCACUGCAGGCCAGACAUGCUGGGGAGGCAAUGUCUACAGUUGCCCUCUACCAGGAGGGAGAGCAGUUUAUGGGUGAAAUCAGUUUUCUCGUGCCUCAGUGGGGUGUGCUCCACAGUCUCCCAGAGAGCCCCACUAGGAGUGAGCCCCAGUUGCCCACAGCUGUGACCUGUGUGUUGAUGCAUCCUCCUUUCUCUGACUCACUUGCCCACACCCCUACCAAGGCUUCCUGGGAUCAACAACUACUUACUCCCAAAAUCUUGCUCCCCAAUCAGCUUUUGGGGAAGUCAAACUAUGCUUAUUAAUGCAGUCAGGAAGUGGCAGAGAGGGGACAUGUCCCCUUCCCCAGCCUGAUCCCCUUUACCAGAUUCCAUUGCAAGGGUGAAAAAGCUCAGUGAACCAUAAUGGGGCUGGUCAAGUGCUUUAAGCAAAGGAGCAAGCUCUGUGGGCCCAGGAAAUCAGAGAAGGCUUCCUGGAGGAAGUAGCACUGGAUUCUAGCCUUGAAGGCUUAGCAGAGUAUGAGGGGCAAGUCCCUAAGUGCCUUUAGGCCUCCUUGAGGCCUUUCCACUGUGGGUUCUGUAAACAGAGAGACUCAACUGUGAACUGCAGUUGAAUUUUUUGACAAUAUCCACUCCAUCAUUUAUUAUAAAGGCCUUUUAAAGUAAAAGACCCCAGCUGGAGGAAUAAUCCCCUCUUGGAUGGGAUCUAAGCCAUGGAAAAUGGGAUGCUUCCCAGGUGUUCCAUCUCUGCAGAUAUAAAACACAGAGGGGCCCAGAUCUCAGGCCAGCCUGAACUGAGCUUCUCUGCAGGAUGAUCUCCUCACCAGAACCCCUGGACAGGAGGGUCUGCCAGAUCCCAGGAAGGAGAUGUGUGAAGCCAGCCUUGGUGACACUCCUGGGCCCCAUCCAGUCAGUUAUGAAAAGUCUCUGCUGCUAAACUCAUCUGCCUCAGCCUGUCUCUGGCCUGUCUUCUUUCUUUCUGCAUUUCUUCCUUUUAAAAAAGUUUAUUGCUCUUUUCUAAUGUUAAAAGUAACACAUACUGAUUGCAGAAAAUCCAGAAAAGCACAAAGAAAAAAAUUAAAAUCACUCGUAAUGUCAA